UUCAGAUCACCUCCAUCUUUUCUCAAUGCCUCAACUCUCUGAAUUGGAGGAAAUACCAACAUGCUCUAGAACUCCAGCACCCCAUGUGAAGCCCCCAUCUACAGCCUAGGCUGAUCUCUUGGCUGUGGUCAGCACCUUCAGCUACAGUCUACUUCCUCUGCUCAGGACCCUCCUAUUCUCGCUCCACUGAGGCAGAGUCACAUCCAAGCUCAAGAUGACCCAGUUCAUCCACAUGCAGAGGAGAGGAAGCUGAGGUCCCGAGAGGACAAGUUGACCUCAAGUUAACAGCUUGUGUGGAGUGAGGAUGGGCUGGGGCUCCUGAACCCUUGAUCAGCUGUCCUUUCUGCUACACCAGGCAGCCUCCUGAUUGGCAGCCAUCUCCCGGAAAGCAGAAUGGGUCUUUUCAAGUUUCUCUCGCUCAGUGCUUUUGCUUUUGAAACUCAAUGCGUAUACUAGCUACUUUUCUCCUAGCUAUGACAAA